UACGGAGGGUGCAAGCGUUGUUCGGAAUUAUUGGGCGUAAAGGGCGUGUAGGCGGUUUGGUAAGUCAGAUGUGAAAGCCCUGGGCUUAACCCAGGAAGUGCAUUUGAAACUACCAGACUUGAGUAUGGGAGAGGAGAGUGGAAUUCCCAGUGUAGAGGUGAAAUUCGUAGAUAUUGGGAGGAACAUCCGUGGCGAAGGCGACUCUCUGGACCAAUACUGACGAUGAGACGCGAAAGAGUGGGGAGCAAACAGG
rnacentral:rRNA from 1 species